rnacentral:rRNA from 1 species
UACGUAGGGUGCGAGCGUUAAUCGGAAUUACUGGGCGUAAAGCGUGCGCAGGCGGUUCGUUGUGUCGGCGGUGAAAGCCCCGGGCUUAACCUGGGAAUGGCCGUUGAAACUGGCGAACUGGAGUGUGGCAGAGGGGGGUGGAAUUCCGCGUGUAGCAGUGAAAUGCGUAGAGAUGCGGAGGAACACCGAUGGCGAAGACAGCCCCCUGGGCUAACACUGACGCUCAGGCACGAAAGCGUGGGGAGCAAACAGG